rnacentral:rRNA from 1 species
UAGGGAAUAUUGGUUAAUGUGCGAAAGCGCGAACCAGCAACGCCGCGUGUGCGAUGAAGGCCUUCGGGUCGUAAAGCACUUUUUGCAGGGAAGAGGAAGGACGGUACCUGCAGAAUAAGUCUCGGCUAACUACGUGCCAGCAGCCGCGGUAAAACGUAGGAGACGAGCGUUAUCCGGAUUUACUGGGCGUAAAGCGCGUGCAGGCGGCAUGGCAAGUUGGAUGUGAAAGCUCGCGGCUUAACUGGGAGAGGUCGUUCAAUACUGCCAGGCUUGAGAGUGGUAGAGGGAAGCGGAAUUCCGGGUGUAGUGGUGAAAUGCGUAGAUAUCCGGAGGGACACCAGUGGCGAAAGCGGCUUACUGGCCCAUUUCUGACGCUCAGACGCGAAAGCUAGGGUAGUAAA